GACGAACGCUGGCGGCGUGCUUAACACAUGCAAGUCGAACGGAAAGGCCGUGCUUUUGUGUUCUGCACGAGUGGCGAACGGGUGAGUAACACGUGAGUAACCUGCCCGUGACUUUGGGAUAACUUCAGGAAACUGUGGCUAAUACCGGAUAGCAGCUCCUGCUGCAUGGUGUGGGUUGGAACGUUUCGGCGGAUUGGGAUGGACUCGCGGCUUCUUAGCUUGUUGGUGUGGUAGUGGCUUACCAAGGCUUAGACGGGUAGCCGGCCUGGGAGGGUGACCGGCCACAUUGGGACUGAGGUACGGGCCAGAGUGCUACGGGAGGCAGGAGUGGAAAACAUUGCGAGAUGGGCGGAGGGCGGAUGCAGCAACGUCGCGUGCGGGAUGACGGCCGUCGGGUUGUAAACAGUGUUCGCCUGUGACGAAGAGUGAGUGACGGUAAUGGGUAAAGAAGCACCGGCUAACUACGUG
rnacentral:rRNA from 1 species